GAUGAAGAACGUAGCGAAAUGCGAUAAGUAAUGUGAAUUGCAGAAUUCAGUGAAUCAUCGAAUCUUUGAACGCACAUUGCGCCCGCCAGUAUUCUGGCGGGCAUGCCUGUUCGAGCGUUAUUUCAACCAUCAAGCCCUGCUUGCGUUGGGGUCCUGCGGCUGCCCGCAGGCCCUGAAAACCAGUGGCGGGCUCGCUAGUCACACCGAGCGCAGUAAUACAUCUCGCUUUGGGCGUGCGGCGGGUUCUUGCCGUUAAACACCCCCUUUUUACCAAGGUUGACCUCGGAUCAGGUAGGAAUACCCGCUGAACUUAAGCAUAUCAAUAAGCGGAGGA
rnacentral:misc_RNA from 1 species